rnacentral:rRNA from 1 species
AUACGUAGGGGGCGAGCGUUGUCCGGAAUGAUUGGGCGUAAAGGGCGCGUAGGCGGCCCGGUAAGUCUGGAGUGAAAGUCCUGCUUUUAAGGUGGGAAUUGCUUUGGAUACUGUCGGGCUUGAGUGCAGGAGAGGUAAGUGGAAUUCCCAGUGUAGCGGUGAAAUGCGUAGAGAUUGGGAGGAACACCAGUGGCGAAGGCGAAUUACUGGACUGUAACUGACGCUGAGGCGCGAAAGUGUGGAGAGCAAACAGGAUUAGAUACCCUGGUAGUCCACACUGUAAACGAUGAAUGCUAGGUGUAGGGGGUAUCGACCCCUUCUGUGCCGCAGUUAACACAAUAAGCAUUCCGCCUGGGGAGUACGGCCGCAAGGUUGAAACUCAAAGGAAUUGACGGGG